UACGUAGGGUGCGAGCGUUAAUCGGAAUUACUGGGCGUAAAGCGUGCGUAGGCGGUUCUCCAAGUCCGUUGUGAAAGCCCCGGGCUCAACCUGGGAAUGGCGAUGGAUACUGGGAGGCUAGAGUGUGAUAGAGGAUGGUGGAAUUCCCGGUGUAGCGGUGAAAUGCGUAGAGAUCGGGAGGAACACCAGUGGCGAAGGCGGCCAUCUGGAUCAACACUGACGCUGAGGCACGAAAGCGUGGGGAGCAAACAGG
rnacentral:rRNA from 1 species